UACCAGCUUGUGCCACUGGCUCGUGCGACCACCCGCCCUGCCAUUUUAGAAAUUGAAUAUCGAGACAAAGGCUUGAGAUGACAUUCAGUUAUCUCAUUUCGUGUCGAUAACAUGGGUCGCGUUGCGUCAAAUUUCUAACGUAUUCUAAUCUAUUGGCGCGUGCUUUCGGUGGCGUCGUUUCUACCUUACUUUUUUACUAUCGUUUAUAUUUCGUCAUUAAUAUCGUUUAACUAAUACACGUCUAUUUAACGAUUCUUCGAACAUUAAGGCAAUGAAAUUAGAUGGUUUUAAGAAACUUUUUGUCUUAAUGUCUCUUCAGUUGUCUAUUUAUCAAAUGAUAUUGCUACCAGUAGUUUCUAUCGUAAGCUUUUGUAACAAGAUUUCAGUUCAAUUGUAUUUUCAUUUGAUUAUUUUAUACAUUUGUUUUAAUUUAUCGAUCGAUAGCAGGGAUAAUAUUAGAAGUAACAGGAAUAUUAAUACAUGGACGUAACGACAAUUAAUGAUUAAUCUGACGAAUUUUCCUGGAAAUUUGGUAAGGUUUAAUUUAUUUUAACUAAGAAAGUGGUGUAUGGACGAUUCUAUUGUCUUUUUAUUCCAACGGGAGUAUUUAUAAUAUGUUUUAUAAUAGAUAAUUUCUUAAUUAUUUGGAAUACUAAGGUGAAAGUAACGGCGAUUAAAUAAAUCAUUGUUCUAUUUCGAAUGUAUGAAAUCAUUCUCUUAUUUCAAACGCAUUUUUAACGAAUUAUCUCAUCGUUUCAAUGUAAUCCAGGAUAUAGAAUUCUUGAUAAUUUAACGAUAGCUUCGUGUAGACAGAGUUUAAAACAUAGAAAUCUUAAUGACAAUAGCUUUAACUUAUUUCGAUAGAUAUCGUUCAUAUAUCAAAUUCAAAUUAGUUUGCAAUAUUAUGUGAAGUUGCUACAGUUAACGUUAUAUGCUUGCAAAUUCGUAGCUUAUAUUUUUUUCAUAGAGGUGGCGCACUAGUAGGCUCAAAUGCUUCAAAGUAACCCGCGUUUGUCCAGUGUUCUCUAGAGAAUAUUUAGUUGUGAAUUUUUGAAUUCUUGCAAAUAUUUUCGAAUAUUUACAAUACACGAUCAUAGUGUGUUAGUGGAGUGUAUAUUUCAUACUCUGAUAACGAAUAUUCACAGUAUAAUUCUCGCAAAUAAUUGCAUUGCAUUUACGGCAUUCGAAAGCAUUUGUUCGAUAUCGAGAAAUAUCCUAUAACUCUCAACUAAUAUUUUUCACACUUAUUCCAAUUUCUUGAUAACAAUCUUUUAAUUGUAGAAGAACAACAGUAUGUUCCAAAUAAAUGUUCGAUAGGGGAAAAAAAGAAAAAUACCGAAACGAUAUUUCGCUUCUUUUACACACUACCCCCCUCUUCUUCUAAAAUAUAGCCAGCACGCCAUUACACAACUUUAUUUUUGGAGGAUAUUUGCGAUCGCGCGCAAUGCGGUUUGUAGAAUCAGUGUUUGUUACGCAAAAGAUUUGUUCAAUAUUUUCAAAUCCCGAUAGUUUUGAUUAAAUUCAAUCAAAUAAUCACGUAACGUAGUCUUUUAUUUUUCUUUUAUUAUAUAUGUGUUCUUUUUGAACACUGGUUUUCGUAUAAGAGUCAGUGCAUUUCUCAAGAGGAUGGGGCCUUUCCAGGAGCUCAAGACCAUACGGUUUCGACUUGUUCAUCUUUGGGACCAAUCUAACGGUGGCACAAAAACCAAGAACGCUUUUCAGAACCUCUAUUUCCACCGUUGGAUUUUCAACGGUUCCUGUCUGAUGUUAGUCUUUCUGAUGAUAUUCACUGGGGUAGCGUAGCAUCCAUGGUAACGUCCUCUGGUUCUCCGCUUCGAACGUUUCAGCGGGCAUUGCGCCCGAAGAAAAAAGAGACUAUAAGCCGAAGAGUCCCGGCAAAAUGUCAUAGAAGAGGGCAACCACCAAUGACUCCCCAUCCUCUGUAUCACCCAGAGUAUGAAAAGUCAUUCUUGUUACUACUUUGUCACUAUGCUCGCUUUUAGUAUUUGCAGUAGUAGUAGUAGUAGUUUUUUUGGCCGAUGUGUAUAUUGUCUCAUCAUCCCACUAGGCAAAUCGCGGUUUUUUUAUUAAUGUCGCGAGAGGAUGACUACGGUUUGAAUUAGAGUUGCGAUAAAAUGAUAAUCGUGUUUGCCUUAGAAUUGCGAAUUAUGAUAUCGCGAUUAUCUUUUGCAAUUUUUAUAAUGAAUUUUUAGAACUUCUUAGAGAAUUAUAUGUAUCAGAAUUUAUCCAGCUUUAUAUUGUUUAAAAUUAGAUUGUAAAAAUUUUAGUUCUUAAUUAAUUAUAUAGUAUUAUAAGUUGGCAUAUCAGAAUAUCUGAAGUAGCUUUUUUAUAUAAUAAAUAGUAAUUUCCAUUGAAUUCAGUUUAAGAGUUAGCAUUGGGAUAAUGAGUGAUCGCGUUUUGUGAAGUAGAGUUGCAUUUACAAAAUGCCCAAAAUCCUCCGACUGUAUUUGUCGGACACUGUUCCUGGGUCGCUAGAUAUAGCUAGAAGAGCUGUAUAAAUGUGAUCGUUCAUCAGCAAUCUUUUAAAUGGCUGCACUGGGAUCUCUCGCCAUUAGUGUUGCGUACUGAUUCAAUACGAGUGUGUAGAUUAAUAUUUGUUAGCGUUACGUAUCAAAUAUCGGGAGUUU